rnacentral:rRNA from 1 species
UACGUAGGUGGCAAGCGUUAUCCGGAUUUAUUGGGCGUAAGGGGAACGCAGGCGGUCUUUUAAGUCUGAUGUGAAAGCCUUCGGCUUAACCGGAGUAGUGCAUUGGAAACUGGGAGACUUGAGUGCAGAAGAGGAGAGUGGAACUCCAUGUGUAGCGGUGAAAUGCAUAGAUAUUAGGAGGAACACCAGUGGCGAAGGCGGCUUGCUGGACUGAAACUGACGCUGAGGCUCGAAAGCGUGGGGAGCAAACAGG